CAGUAGCCGCGGUAAUACAGAGGGUGCAAGCGUUAAUCGGAAUUACUGGGCGUAAAGCGCGCGUAGGUGGUUUGUUAAGUUGGAUGUGAAAUCCCCGGGCUCAACCUGGGAACUGCAUCCAAAACUGGCAAGCUAGAGUAUGGUAGAGGGUGGUGGAAUUUCCUGUGUAGCGGUGAAAUGCGUAGAUAUAGGAAGGAACACCAGUGGCGAAGGCGACCACCUGGACUGAUACUGACACUGAGGUGCGAAAGCGUGGGGAGCAAACAGGAUUAGAUACCCCCGUAGUCCCUUGUCUCUUAUU
rnacentral:rRNA from 1 species